rnacentral:rRNA from 1 species
UACGUAGGGGGCUAGCGUUGUCCGGAAUUAUUGGGCGUAAAGAGCUCGUAGGCGGUCCGUCACGUCGGCUGUGAAAUCCUGAGGCUCAACCUCAGGCUUGCAGUCGAUACGGGCGGGCUGGAGUUCGGCAGGGGAGACUGGAAUUCCUGGUGUAGCGGUGAAAUGCGCAGAUAUCAGGAGGAACACCGGUGGCGAAGGCGGUUCUCUGGGCAUGACCUGACGCUGAGGUGCGAAAGCGUGGGGAGCAAACAGG